rnacentral:sRNA from 1 species
UUGCUCAGAGUGGGGGGUAUCCGCGAGGACCCCGACGCCCUUCUAGGCGUGGUACCACUCUGGGCAUUU